GGGAAGUCCUGUGGCGGUGGAGUCGUCAGCAUUAAUUCAAAUAAGCUCUCUCCCUGCGCACAAUCUGCUUUCGUGUUCCUGAUGGAUUGAAUCAAGAGUGAAUGAGCUCCUACUUUGCGAAAGCACAACAAAUUAAAUGCAUCAACCAUGACCGCAAAGCCCCCACCUCUCCCAGGAGGGUGAGCCCACGUUGUGUUUUCAUUUGUCAGAAAUCUAUCUUAGGAAGCCAUUCCUGAGAUCUGUUCUAAUUUAGGCCAUUUUAAAAAAAAUAAUGCAGUUGAUUCUUUUCCCGUAA
rnacentral:lncRNA from 1 species